rnacentral:rRNA from 1 species
GGGGGGGGGGGGGGGGGGGCGGGGCGGGGGCGGGGCGGGCGGGGGGGGGGGGCUGGCGGCUGGAGUCGGCGGCGGGCGGGUGAGUAAGGCCUAGGAAUGUGCCUGGUAGUGGGGGAUAACGUCCGGGACCGGGCGCUACUACCGCAUACGUCCUGAGGGAGAAAGUGGGGGAUCUUCGGACCUCACGCGAUCAGGUGAGCCUAGGUCGGAUUAGCUAGUUGGUGGGGUAAAGGCCUACCAAGGCGACGAUCCGUAACUGGUCUGAGAGGAUGAUCAGUCACACUGGAACUGAGACACGGUCCAGACUCCUACGGGAGGCAGCAGUGGGGAAUAUUGGACAAUGGGCGAAAGCCUGAUCCAGCCAUGCCGCGUGUGUGAAGAAGGUCUUCGGAUUGUAAAGCACUUUAAGUUGGGAGGAAGGGCAGUAAGUUAAUACCUUGCUGUUUUGACGUUACCAACAGAAUAAGCACCGGCUAACUUCGUG